UACGUAGGUCCCGAGCGUUGUCCGGAUUUAUUGGGUUUAAAGGGUGCGUAGGCGGAUUGAUAAGUUAGAGGUGAAAUGUCCGAGCUCAACUCGGGAACUGCCUCUAAUACUGUUGAUCUAGAGAGUAGAUGCGGUAGGCGGAAUGUAUGGUGUAGCGGUGAAAUGCUUAGAGAUCAUACAGAACACCGAUUGCGAAGGCAGCUUACCAAUCUAUAUCUGACGUUGAGGCACGAGAGCGUGGGGAGCAAACAGG
rnacentral:rRNA from 1 species